rnacentral:rRNA from 1 species
UACGGAGGGGGCUAGCGUUGUUCGGAAUUACUGGGCGUAAAGCGCACGCAGGCGGUCUUUUUAAGUUUGACGUGAAAGCUCCCGGCUUAACUGGGAGAGGUCGUUGAAUACUGGAAGACUUGAGGCAAUGAGAGGGGUGUAGAAUUCCCGGUGUAGUGGUGGAAUGCGUAGAUAUCGGGGGGGAAUACCAGUGGCGAAAGCGGCACCCUAGCGUUAGCCUGACGCUCAUGUGCGAAAGCGUGGGGAGCGAACGGG